UACGGGGGGGGGCAAGCGUUGUUCGGAAUUACUGGGCGUAAAGGGCUCGUAGGCGGCCAACUAAGUCGGAUGUGAAAUCCCCAGGCUCAACCUGGGAACUGCAUCCGAUACUGGAUGGCUUGGAUUCGGGAGAGGAAUGCGGAAUUCCAGGUGUAGCGGUGAAAUGCGUAGAUAUCUGGAGGAACACCGGUGGCGAAGGCGGCAUUCUGGACCGACAUUGACGCUGAGGAGCGAAAGCCAGGGGAGCAAACGGG
rnacentral:rRNA from 1 species